AUGUAUAAAUACUCAGUGGAAGAAAACUUAGAAUCGAGAUCGGGUUAGAAAGAGGAACUUAGAGGUCACAGUGAACGUGUAUAAAGUUACACAUACGAAUAUUUCCACGUGGAGUGAUGUAUAGGCGACUGCAUUCCUUGAAUGUGGUUUUUCCUGCAGGACCUCUGUCCUUGUAUUUUUUUAUGAAACUUAAGCCAAACAUGGUAUCCCUGGAAGGUCAAAUGCGUAAACAAUACAGUUCUCACGAAGGACGACACUGUGGACAUGAUUACAGUUUUCGAUGCGGAAUAUGCGCUGGAGUCAUCGAAGGAAGAACCAGAAUUGCAGAUUGUCCACAGGAACCAACCAGAGUAUUCUGAAAAAGUCAUGCCCAAUUGUUAAUAUCAUGUCCAGCAACAGGGACGUGAAAGGAUUUGAUACAGAACAGAAAGUUUGACUGAAAUAGGGCAGCUGCAAAUCUGUUCUACAUUGGAAGUGACGUUGCCAGUGAUUAAUUCAAAUACGAAGAAGAUACAAAUUGCCAGUGUGUCCGCAUAAGCUUUAGAAAUUGGUUUUCAAUAGGUGUCAUUUGUGUUUUAUAGACGAGAUAUUUAUUGAAAUAGACGUGAUAUUUUUAUAGUGAUCUUAUUUAAGUGAAAUAUAUCUUAAACAAUAUAAGUGAUGUGCGGAUAUAGCUUAGUAGAAAGGUUGUUAUGGUUACUACUCCAAACGCGAGUGCCUGAGCUUGAAUUGUGUUUUUUAAUGUGUUCUUUUGGUCAAUGCUCUGUGUGUAAGGGGUAUUCGCCUGGUGGAGAGUCAUUUUAUUUACACUAUCUUCUAAUGGCGCCACUAGUAUGAACUUCCCAGUGGUGUUUUGCCACUGACCGUUCUAAGGCGGUGCCCUUAUAUAUCCGUUCUUCAUGGAUGUUUGGUCUGUUUGUGCUUCUGUAUUAUUAUUGCUUUCGUUUGUGUUUAUGUUCUCAGUCACGGUGAACGUGUAUAAAUAUACACACAUAAAUAUUUACAUGUGGAGUAAUGUAUGGGGGGCUGCGUUCUUUGAAUAUGUCCUUGUAUUUGUUUAUAAAUUUUAAGCCCAACAUGGUUACCCAGGAAGGUCAAAGGUGUUAAAAAAGACAGAUCUUACCAAUAAUUAAUGGCGGCGAUUUACAACUACGUGAACGUGAUUAGUGUUUGAUGCAGACAACACGCCGGUGUCAUCGAAGGAAGAACUAGAAUUACAGAUUGUCAACUAGAGUCCGAGUGUAAUUAAAAGCAUUAUGCCCAAAUAUUGAUAUCAUAUCCAGCAACAGGAACGUGAAAGGACUGAAUAAUAAUAGCUGCAAAUCUGAUCAACAUUGGAACUGACGUCGCCAGUAAUUGGUUCAUGUGAUUACUUGAAAUGUUUAGAAGAAACUACUAGAUAUUGUCUGUGUGUCCCCGUAAGAGUGUUAGCAGUUUUUAUGGACGUGAAAUUGUUUUUCAAUAUAUGUCAUUUGUGUUUCAUAGACGUGAUAUUACUUGAAAUAGACGUGUUUUUAUAGAAGUAAUCUUACAUUAGUGAUUUAAAUUUUAGACAAUGUGAUUGUUUGAGAAUGUGGCGUAACAGAAGGUAGUAGGGUUACUUGUCUAAGCGCGAAUGUCUGUUAGUUAUUAUUCCGGGCUACUACCUGUUACUAUAAUAUAUCUUAAUUCAUCCUCUUGUCAGUGUGGAACAGUGAAGUGUAAUCAAACUGGAGUCCCAGUAGAGCUAAUAUGCGUUUUGCGGUUUUAUGUUGGGUUUUCUUGCAAAUGUUAUGUUUUUUUACAAAAGAUAUUUGAUUACGUUUUGAUUGGAUAAACAUUAUUCCAAAUAAUUUUUUUUAAUGAAGAACACGUCAAGUCAUAAUGCAUAAAACAUUUCUCAAUUGUAUGAUAUAUCUACACGUCCAAAAGAAAGUUUAUUUAUUUCUUCAUGGCAGCACAUGUUAGGUUAGGUAUUAGUAUUUAAAAUAAGCUAAUGUUAUAACUAUGAAAAAUUCCUUACUUGUAGAGGUGGUACCUUAACAAUUAUAAAAAAAGACUUUGUUUUCAUUGCUUUAUUUUCAGCAAUUUGAAGUUUAACAACUAAGCAAACUGAGUAACAGCAGAAUGUUCAUGUAUUAAACCUAACCUUAAAUAUUUUGUUUAUUUUAAUACUAGUAAUUUUUCAAUAAAAUGCCAACAAGCUG
rnacentral:lncRNA from 1 species